AACGGACGCUGGCGGCAGGCUUAACACAUGCAAGUCGAACGCCCCUUUCGGGGGGAGUGGCAGACGGGUGAGUAACACGUGGGAACGUGCCCUUCAGUUCGGAAUAACCCAGGGAAACUUGGGCUAAUACCGGAUACGCCCUUACGGGGAAAGAUUUAUCGCUGAAGGAUCGGCCCGCGUCUGAUUAGCUAGUUGGUGAGGUAAAGGCUCACCAAGGCGACGAUCAGUAGCUGGUCUGAGAGGAUGAUCAGCCACACUGGGACUGAGACACGGCCCAGACUCCUACGGGAGGCAGCAGUGGGGAAUAUUGGAAAAUGGGCGCAAGCCUGAUCCAGCCAUGCCGCGUGAGUGAUGAAGGCCUUAGGGUUGUAAAGCUCUUUCACCGGUGAAGAUAAUGACGGUAACCGGAGAAGAAGCCCCGGCUAACUUCGUGCCAGCCGCCGCCGUAAAAC
rnacentral:rRNA from 1 species